AUGGCCAGGGACAAGCUCAGGAGCAAGGAACGGCGGGCGGCUCAGCGGCCUACGCUCACCUGUAUGGGCCAUGGCAGGUUUUGCCUUGUGGACUGCGGUACGCCAGGGAAUGAAGUCUGGUUUACACUGAUGGCUGCAUGCUCAACACCACCACAUUUCGCCUCCGGUACUCUCACAAGGGAGAGCUGCGGAUCGCCGAUCGCGCCACCAAGUCCUGUCAAAUGA
rnacentral:rRNA from 1 species